rnacentral:rRNA from 1 species
UACGUAGGGGGCAAGCGUUGUCCGGAUUCAUUGGGCGUAAAGAGCGUGUAGGCGGCCUGACAGGUCAGCUGUGAAAACUCGAGGCUCAACCUCGAGACGUCGGUUGAAACCAUCUGGCUAGAGUCCGGAAGAGGAGUGUGGAAUUCCCGGUGUAGCGGUGAAAUGCGCAGAUAUCGGGAAGAACACCCGUGGCGAAGGCGGCACUCUGGGACGGUACUGACGCUGAGACGCGAAAGCGUGGGGAGCGAACAGG